AAGAGAGCAGGAGCUCUGGGCUACAAUCUGGUAUGUGAGUUAAUCAGGAGUCUCAGCUGAUAAGGCAUGGGUGGGAGUGAGGGGAGAGAGGGGAUUUUUCUGUCUGGCUGCAGUGAGGUGCCUGCAGGUGGGCUGCAGAGGGGGAGCACCCAGCCCCUUCCACAGAUAACUCGGCCCAGAUUUACAUAGGUGUUGGAUGUCACAGCUGCAUGUCCCAGUGGCAGCAAAAGGCACCCGGGAGUGCUCAGUGCUGGCUGAAAAACGACACUGUUCGGAUUUCAAAUUUACCACUGCAAAUUAGAGGAGUGGAAAGUAUGAGACAAUCCUCACUACACCAGGAACCCUUCUUUGUGAAGUCAGAUAUGCUGUUUUUCAUUAGGAGCUGAUGAAUGUAAAGCCAAGAUUUUCCCUGAGAAUCUGGAAGUGAAGCUGAAAUCACUUCAGUGAAAAGUGAGCCAGCAUGAUUGAGCAACCAUCAGAUAUGUGAGCCUCGUUCCCUGGCCCGCCAUCCCCAGCUGUGUUUCAGAGUGGGCAAUGUAUGUGCCCAAACCUGGAAGGUGAUUUCAGGUAUGAAGCCUGUUCCCAGGGAGCCCAGGGCCCUGUGAAAUGGGCAUUUUCAGGUACCAAAAGAACAACCUUCUCACACUGAUUCAGGAUGAACUAAUCACUGAAGAACUUGCAAAAGACAUAUGGGACUAUAAAUUCAUAAGCAUUUCUGACUCCAUCAAGUAGG